CCUACGGGAGGCAGCAGUGGGGAAUUUUGGACAAUGGGCGCAAGCCUGAUCCAGCCAUGCCGCGUGCGGGAAGAAGGCCUUCGGGUUGUAAACCGCUUUUGUCAGGGAAGAAACGGUUUGGGCUAAUAUCCCGAACUAAUGACGGUACCNAAGAA
rnacentral:rRNA from 1 species